GAGAACGCCGGUGGCGGGGCGGGUAGCCCGGCAGCCGCAGGUGGGGCCACGAGCGCUGGCUGAGGGACCGAGCCGGAGAGCCCCGGAGCCCCCGUAACCCGCGCGGGGAGCGCCCAGGAUGCCGCGCGGGGACUCGGAGCAGGUGCGCUACUGCGCGCGCUUCUCUUACCUCUGGCUCAAGUUUUCACUUAUCAUCUACUCCACCGUGUUCUGGCUGAUUGGGGCCCUGGUCCUGUCUGUGGGCAUCUAUGCAGAGGUUGAGCGGCAGAAAUAUAAAACCCUUGAAAGUGCCUUCCUGGCUCCAGCCAUCAUCCUCAUCCUCCUGGGCGUCGUCAUGUUCAUGGUCUCCUUCAUUGGUGUGCUGGCGUCCCUCCGUGACAACCUGUACCUUCUCCAAGCAGUGAGUGGACCACACCACCCCUCAGCCGGGACUCCCCAGGAGAGCUGGGGUGCCUGCCCCUGUGCCCUUGGGCAGCUCAGUUUCUUUUGUCCCUGCCUUAAACCACCUCCUUUAGAGAGCUCCUUAGAUCAGCCCAUCUGAUUACACUGGCCCAAGAAUGCCCAGGCCACCUCCCCUCCUGCGUGUAAAAGCUGAUUUGAAUACUAUUCUUACUUA
rnacentral:sRNA from 1 species